rnacentral:sRNA from 1 species
ACUCAACACUAAUCUAUUAUAAAGGAUGAGUCGUAGUUGCUAUGGCGUGCCGCAUUCUACUUGUUAGUUUCCGCGGAUACUUGAUCAACUAGUUAGUCCUAAACCUGAUAUAAUGGAGUUU